rnacentral:rRNA from 1 species
GAGCGGCGAACGGGUGAGUAACACGUGAGCAACCUACCCUCAACUUUGGGAUAAGCCUCGGAAACGGGGUCUAAUACCGGAUAACACCAUNUNUCUCAUGGGGGGUGGUUGAAAGUUCUGGCGGUUGGGGAUGGGCUCGCGGCCUAUCAGCUUGUUGGUGGGGUAAUGGCCUACCAAGGCGUCGACGGGUAGCCGGCCUGAGAGGGCGACCGGCCACACUGGGACUGAGACACGGCCCAGACUCCUACGGGAGGCAGCAGUGGGGAAUAUUGCGCAAUGGACGAAAGUCUGACGCAGCAACGCCGCGUGAGGGAUGACGGCCUUCGGGUUGUAAACCUCUUUCAGCAGGGACGAAGCGAGAGUGACGGUACCUGCAGAAGAAGGACCGGCCAACUACGUGCCAGCAGCCGCGGUAAUACGUAGGGUCCGAGCGUUGUCCGGAAUUAUUGGGCGUAAAGGGCUCGUAGGCGGUUCGUCACGUCGGGAGUGAAAACUCGGGGCUUAACCCCGAGCCUGCUUCCGAUACGGGCAGACUAGAGGUAGGCAGGGNAGAGCGGAACUCCU